rnacentral:tRNA from 1 species
GAUCAGAUGGCCGAGCGGUCUAAGGCGCCAGCUUAAGGACUUCCGCAUUCCCGGAAGGACAAUCGCUGGUCUCUUCGGGGGCGUGGGUUCAAAUCCCACUCUGGUCA